rnacentral:rRNA from 1 species
CAGAGUUUUGAAUCAUGGCUCAGAUUUGAACGCUGGCGGCAGGCUUAACACAUGCAAGUCGAGCGGGGGAAGGUAGCUUGCUACCGGACCUAGCGGCGGACGGGUGAGUAAUGCUUAGGAAUCUGCCUAUUAGUGGGGGACAACAUCUCGAAAGGGAUGCUAAUACCGCAUACGUCCUACGGGAGAAAGCAGGGGAUCUUCGGACCUUGCGCUAAUAGAUGAGCCUAAGUCGGAUUAGCUAGUUGGUGGGGUAAAGGCCUACCAAGGCGACGAUCUGUAGCGGGUCUGAGAGGAUGAUCCGCCACACUGGGACUGAGACACGGCCCAGACUCCUACGGGAGGCAGCAGUGGGGAAUAUUGGACAAUGGGGGGAACCCUGAUCCAGCCAUGCCGCGUGUGUGAAGAAGGCCUUAUGGUUGUAAAGCACUUUAAGCGAGGAGGAGGCUACUYUAGUUAAUACCUAGRGAUAGUGGACGUUACUCGCAGAAUAAGCACCGGCUAACUCUGUGCCAGCAGCCGCGGUAAUACAGAGGGUGCGAGCGUUAAUCGGAUUUACUGGGCGUAAAGCGUGCGUAGGCGGCUUAUUAAGUCGGAUGUGAAAUCCCCGAGCUUAACUUGGGAAUUGCAUUCGAUACUGGUGAGCUAGAGUAUGGGAGAGGAUGGUAGAAUUCCAGGUGUAGCGGUGAAAUGCGUAGAGAUCUGGAGGAAUACCGAUGGCGAAGGCAGCCAUCUGGCCUAAUACUGACGCUGAGGUACGAAAGCAUGGGGAGCAAACAGGAUUAGAUACCCUGGUAGUCCAUGCCGUAAACGAUGUCUACUAGCCGUUGGGGCCUUUGAGGCUUUAGUGGCGCAGCUAACGCGAUAAGUAGACCGKCCCYG